rnacentral:tRNA from 1 species
GCCCCCAUAGCUCAGCGGAUAGAGCGUUGCCCUCCGAAGGCAGAGGCACAGGUUCGAGUCUUGUUGGGGGUA